UACAGAGGUCUCAAGCGUUGUUCGGAUUCAUUGGGCGUAAAGGGUGCGUAGGUGGCGCUGUAAGUCAGGUGUGAAAUUUCGGAGCUUAACUCCGAAACUGCAUUUGAUACUGCGGUGCUUGAGGACUGGAGAGGAGACUGGAAUUUACGGUGUAGCAGUGAAAUGCGUAGAGAUCGUAAGGAAGACCAGUGCGAAGGCGGGUCUCUGGACAGUUCCUGACACUGAGGCACGAAGGCCAGGGGAGCAAACGGGG
rnacentral:rRNA from 1 species